AAACAAGAAUCAGGCAGCAGAAGUCUAAAGGAAAAUGAAAAGGAGAAGCACUUAGAGUAAUUUUUCCCUUUCCUUUCCUAUAGUCAAUAUGCAGAAGGGCAUCUUUUGCAUGUCUACUACCAGCCAGUUAAUAUUUUCUUACCCUCAUCCCUUAACUGAGGUUCCUAAAGCCCUUUGCAGCCACUGCUUCACUCAGUCUCAGGUACUCCCAGGAGACAGCUGGUGUCACUAACCUGCUUAUAAAAGGAGGGGCAGUGAGCCACAUUUAUCUGUGCAAAGCCACCUAACAGACAGUUCCUGGAACACAAAUUAGGAGGUGGGAUUCUCAGUUUUGACUUUAACCUUCAAGCUAGGUUUCCUCCUUUCCCCAAACCUGCAGUGCCAAACCACUGCAGUAUCAAACGUGCAACAGCAUCCUCCAUCUUCUCGUCAUCUUUGGUACCACAUCAGAGUGGAGGCUGCAAGCCCCCAGACAGUCACCUGCCUUUUGAGGAAAUUUCCAUUUAGGAAGCUGAACCAGGGGAUUCAUGCUUUUGGCUAUUUGUAUUAUCCUUCAUUUCUGUAAUGGAGCAUCAUCAUUGAGGAGGGAGUUACACAGAAAUUACUUCUUUAGGUGCUGCAUCUGUCCCAUGUUUAAGCACAGUGAGAAGGUCUGAUGUUUUUCCCAAUGUACCACCUACUUCUAUUCCAAUGUUUUUUCCUUGCAUCUGUGGGCAAUUCAAAAUCUCACCAUGAGACCACCUGUGCAGGGAUACAGCCCACAGAAGUUCUCAGCUGUGGCUGCAGCAAGAACCAGCAUAGAAGAAUUUUUCCAUACCCAUGACAAUUGAAUCAUAGCAUUGCCUAAAUAUGCAAAUUUUGAUUUUUCUCAUUUUUUUACUUUCAGGUCUGAGUGGACACAGCCAACAUCUUGAGGUGCCUAUAUGAGAGAUGUGUAGAGACUUUCACUGACAAGCCAUUACUGUGGUACAGCACAGGACAUGAACAAGAGGCUCCAUAGCAUCUGAGAUGGCAGUGAAAAUCCCAUGACAGAGGCAAGAUCCUUGGAGACAGGUACCAACAAGAAUCUCUGAAGAGGACAUUGGGAAAGACUGUGGAGUAGCCUGGGCCACUGACUACACUUUGUAGUGGAGACUGUGUGACAAAUGUGAAGGGAGUACAUACAACAAGCAGGAGACCUGAAACAAAGCCUUGUGAGGAGUGGAGCCUCUGUGCACACAAAUGACACGUGAGAUGCCCAUCUCAGGCAGGCUGUGCAUCUGCAGCUCCUUGCUCAAAUGACUCCAAAUUUGCCCCAAGUGGUUUUAGCCAGGGCCUCUGGGAAGUUCAUCAGUAUUGCAAAAAUCAGAUCGAGCAUAUGAAUAUUGGGGUGUGUUGCAUACUUCCUCAUUCAGCAGAAUACGAUGCUCAUUCUUCGCUACAGCAGAGCAAUGCACACUCUCCAGCAUGGAUCUGAGUGUAUACAGUGCUGAAGUAUUGUAAGUAAUAAAUGGUGUACCCAAAAGUGCCUAGCUGCAGUGGUGAUUAAUCACUUAGGCCCUGAUCCUGCAAACAUGCAUGAGUUUAAUGUUACUACUAUGAGUAAUCCCCUUGAUUUCAAAUUAGAUUAGUCACAGUCUUAACACUUGGCACGUGAAUAAAUGUUUGCAGGGCUAGAGCCCUAUUUAUGGCCUGAUCUUGCAAAUUAUUACUGUCUAGCA